UACGUAGGGGGCGAGCGUUGUCCGGAAUUACUGGGCGUAAAGGGCGCGUAGGCGGCCCGUUAAGUCCACGGUGAAAGCCCGAGGCUCAACCUCGGAAGGGCCGUGGGGACUGGGGGGCUAGGGGGUCGGAGAGGAGCGUGGAAUCCCUGGUGGAGCGGUGGAAUGCGUAGAGAUCAGGGGGAACACCGAUGGCGAAGGCAGCGCUCUGGCCGACAUCCGACGCUGAGGCGCGAAAGCUGGGGGAGCGAACGGG
rnacentral:rRNA from 1 species